rnacentral:ncRNA from 1 species
GCUAUAGUUGCUUGAAUACAUAAGCAUGGAAUAAUGGAAUAGGACUUUGGUUCUAUUUUGUUGGUUUCUGGAACCGAAGUAAUGAUUAAGAGGGACAGUUGGGGGCAUUCGUAUUUCGUUGUCAGAGGUGAAAUUCUUGGAUUUACGAAAGACGAACUACUGCGAAAGCAUUUGCCAAGAAUGUUUUCAUU